UACGAAGGGGGCUAGCGUGGUUCGGAAUUACUGGGCGUAAAGCGUGCGCAGGCGGCUUCUCAAGUCAGGGGUGAAAGCCCAGAGCUCAACUCUGGAAUUGCCUUUGAGACUGAGUGGCUUGAGUACGAGAGAGGUGAGUGGAAUUCCCAGUGUAGAGGUGAAAUUCGUAGAUAUUGGGAAGAACACCGGUGGCGAAGGCGGCUCACUGGCUCGUAACUGACGCUCAUGCACGACAGCGUGGGGAUCAAACAGG
rnacentral:rRNA from 1 species